AUGCAAUGAUGAGCGAAGUAUCGCCUGACCUGGUAUGGCCGUCCCUCCUGUCGGCUUUGACCAGGGCGUGAUCACUCAAUCUUCUCUCUGAGCUA